UACGUAGGCGGAAUAAUAAGUCAGUGGUGAAAUCUCCCGGCUCAACCGGGAAACUGCCAUUGAUACUGUUAUUCUUGAAUAUAGUUGAGGUAGGCGGAAUGUGUAAUGUAGCGGUGAAAUGCUUAGAUAUGACACAGAACACCAAUUGCGAAGGCAGCUUGCUAAACUGAUAUUGACGCUGAGGCACGAAAGCGUGGGGAGCGAACAGGAUUAGAUACCCUGGUAGUCC
rnacentral:rRNA from 1 species